rnacentral:lncRNA from 1 species
UGGCAGCCCCCGCCCUCGCCCUCCGCCCCUCGACACAGACUCAAAGGUAGAGGAUGGAGUCCAGCCCCUCCCCUACAGCUCCCCCCUGAAUCUAGAGGCGAGAGUGGUCCCACCGCUGUCAAGUCACUCCUCCCUGAGGCCAGUUUUCCCCACGAAGUUCACCAAGGGGCUUAGCUGGAUGAGAACAAGAAGAGCUCUAUAGAUUUUCAAGGUGCUAAGAAGAAAGCUUCUAGACGUAUUUCAAAUGUCAAGUUUCUGAGACUUCAAUAAGAAAGUUGCAGUGGAAGGAAAUUUGGGCCAAAGGACUGGUGUCCCGUUUAUGAACUUCAGACGGAGUGACUUGGGAAAUUAUUCUAACCUCGCUGAGCCUCAGCUUACUCAUCUGAGAAAUGGAGAAGAGGGCCCCAGCCCAUUUUAGUCACAGGGGCUGUGGCUGCCACCAAGUGACAUCAUGAAAUGGAAAGGUUACUCAUUUGCAGACACUCGCCUCAGCCCUAUAGGCUGACUACAAGCUGCAGCGAACAAUCGUUGUGGAAAACAGCAAGUUCAGGCUGUUUGGAUGAAUAAGUGGGAGGUCAGCCCUGUGGGGAAAUGCAGCAUCUCCACACACAACUCCAGUGCCAGGUAGACAGAGUCCGAGGAUCCUGUCAACUGAUAGAACAACUGCAGUUCAACCGAUAGCUGACAAUGCAUCAAUCUGUCCGAGCCUCCGAGAUUCACCAUGCCUGGAAACUAUAUAUUGAUUAAAAUGAUAUAUGCACGUCAUUAGUUAGAUCCCGAGAAUCUGUAAUGAUCUGCUUGUCUCUUCCCUCUCCCCGCCUCUAACAUUGUUCCUGCGACCUGGGUCAGCUGCCGGGAAACCCGGACUCUGAUGUUACCACCUCCCCCCCGUGCAGGGCACCGUGCUCUUAUUUAUUACUUUCAUUUCAUGCAUCGGCUGUGCCUCCUCCCUUGUGCUCACCUCUGCUGUGGUCUUGGCUCUAGUCCAGACUUGGCUCUGGACCCAGCCUCUCUCAUCUGCCUUUUCCAGAAUCAGAUCUAUGGAUGUGGGGCCAGCUGGGGGUCAGCUGCGCUGAGGGAGAGGACGAGAGACCCUAGGAUACCCCACAUCCACGCCACCCUUCUUCGUAGACAGGGUUUCGGCCAGCCUGAGCCCUGUAAUGAAGCCGAUUGUCCAGAUCCUUCCAGAAGAAAUGCUCAUAAGGAAAUGUCUGGAAAAACCUCAAGCAAAUAAAACUCCAUCACUCCUCAGGUGCUGGGCUCUGCUGGCCUCAGAUCUGAAACCAUCCCCCUUCAAGGUGGGGACCUGUGAUUUGUACUUGACUCUUCAGGUUGUGGAAGGCUGGCCAAGCAGGCCCACUGAUUCCAGGGUCUCUCCUGGAUUUUCAAACUCCAGUCCCCUCUAGCAGCACAGAGGAAAGAGGCCUUCCCUCACCAUGCCUGCUUCUCCCUCGUGGUGCCCAUAACCUGCCAUUUUUUCUUCUAUGAGGAGCAGUAAAGAGAUUAAUCUCAGGAGUUCCCGUCACGGCUCAGGGAUUAAUGAAUCCGACUAGGAACCAUGAGGUUGCAGGUUUGAUCCCUGGCCUUGCUCAGUGGGUUAAGGAUCCAGUGUUGCCAUGAGCUGUGGUGUAGGUUGCAGAGGCGUCUCGGAUCUGGUAUUGCUGUGGUGUAGGCCAGCGGCUACAGCUCCAAUUAGACCCCCAGCCUGGGAACCUCCACAUGCAUCAGGAGCGGCCUAAGAAAUGGCAAAAAGACAAAAAAAAAAAAAGAUGAAUCUCAGCUCUACUGGCUAUUCACUGCAUGCCUUUGGUAAGUUACUGCACCUUCUUGUGCCCCGUUUCCUCAUCCAUCGUUUCUUUUUAUAAAUGACCUGAGCACCACGUCUGUCUUAGGCACCGGGCAAGGAAGCAGCCCAGUCAUUAACCUGCUGCGCCACAGUAGGAACUCCUGUGAAGACAUUUUAAAGAGUCCUGUGAAGGAGUUUCUGUCCUGGCACAGUGGAAAUGAUUCCGACUAUAGGAACCAUGAGGUUUCGGGUUCCAUCCCUGGCUUCGCUCAGUGGGUUAAGGACCCGGUGUUGCCAUGAGCUGUGGUGUAGGUUGCAGAUGCGGCUCGGAUCUGGCGUUGCUGUGGCUCUGGUGUAGGCUGGUGGCUACAGCUCCGAUUUGACCCCUAGCCUGCGAA